rnacentral:rRNA from 1 species
UACGUAGGUGGCAAGCGUUGUCCGGAUUUACUGGGCGUAAAGGGCGCGUAGGCGGCCAGCACAAGUCAGUUGUGAAAUCUCCGGGCUUAACCCGGAAAGGUCAACUGAUACUGUGCGGCUAGAGUGCAGAAGGGGCAACUGGAAUUCUCGGUGUAGCGGUGAAAUGCGUAGAUAUCGAGAGGAACACCUGCGGCGAAGGCGGGUUGCUGGGCUGACACUGACGCUGAUGCGCGAAAGCCAGGGGAGCGAACGGG